rnacentral:lncRNA from 1 species
AUGGGCAAAGGAGACCCUAAGAAGCCAAGAGAGAAAAUGCCAUCAUAUGCAUUUUUUGUGCAAACUUGUAGGGAGGCACAUAAGAACAAACAUCCAGAUGCUUCAGUCAACUCCUCAGAGUUUUCUAAGAAGUGCUCAGAGAGGUGGAAGACCAUGCCUACUAAACAGAAAGGAAAAUUCGAAGAUAUGGCAAAGGCAGACAGGGCCCAUACGAAAGAGAAACGAAAACCUGUAUCUUUCCUAAAGGGGAGACAAAAAAGACGUUCAGGCUGGGUGUGGUGGCUCACGCCUGUAAUCUCAGCACUUUGGGAGGCUGAGGCGGGUAGAUCACCUAAGGUCAGGAGUUCGAGGCCAGCCUGGCCAAGACAGUGAAAGCCCGUCUCUACUGAAAAAAAAAAAAAAAUUGCCAGGCAUGGUGGCGGGCGUCUGUAAUCCCAGCUACUCGGGAGGCUGAGGCAAAAGAAUCGCUUGAACCUGGGAGGCAGAGGUUGCAGUGAGCUGAGAUUGCGCCAUUGCACUCCAGCCUGGGCAACAAAAGGGAAACUCCAUCUCAAAAGAAAAAAAAAAAAGUUAAAGGAUCCCAGUGCACCCAAGAGGCCUCCUUCGGCCUUCUUCCUGUUCUGUUCUGUCCUGUUCUGUUCUGUUCUGAGUAUCGCCCAAAUAUCAAAGGAGAACAUCUGGCCUGUCCACUAAUGAUGUUGCAAAGAAACUGGGAGAGAUGUGGAAUAACAUUGCUGCAGAUGACAGGCAGCCUUAUAAAAAGAAGGCUGCGAAGCUGAAGGAAAAGUAAGAAAAGGAUAUUGCUGCAUAUCGGGCUAAAGGAAAGCCUGCUGCAGCAAAAAAAGGGAGUUGUCAAGGCUGAAAAAAGCAAGAAAAAGAAGGAAGAGGAGGAAGAUGAGGAAGAUGAAGAGGAUAAGAAUGAGGAGGAGGAAGAUGAAGAUGAUGAUGA